ensembl:lncRNA
ACAGCUUCAAAUGAGACUUUGUUAAUUCAAUAUAUAAUUGUUAACUAAAUAGAGAGACUUCUUAAUUCCUAGCAAACUGAAUGUCUUAGUUAUUUCUAAAUCAGAGUAUGUACUGGAUAUGGAAAGUGUGCAGUUCCUAGUGAACUUUAAAAUGUGAAACUGGUGCUAUUUCCGUACAGGUCUUGCCUGAAACAUUUACUGAAACAUGCUAUUUUGUCUGCCAGAAAUAGAGUGUAUUCCAUGUAGUAUAAUAAAUAAAUAUGUUUAUUUUAAACUGAAAAGAAAAUAUUCUACUCAACACUUUGAAAUAUUGUUUUUUAUGUAUGAACCAGUAGAUUAUAGUAUGGGUAAACACAACGCUAUCUUUGCCAGAAGAUAAUCACAAGUUUUGAAACAGCACAGCAAUAAUGAUGCUGUGAUUAGAGACCUUCUAAAUACUGAUGAAAAAGAAGAAAAAAGGAAUUAUAGUUUAGAUGAUAAGUAAAAAAAAAUGUUCAAUCUAGUAUUGCUAAAAGGAAAUAACCUUUAUUGCUUGAUAUAAAUAUUCUAAAUACUAUGCUUUUGAUGUUCAAUCAUCUGUACUGGAUAAAAUACUGUUCCUAUAGUUCUUUUAUAACUACAGAUACAUCUUCAAUAAAAGACAAACUACUGUAGUUGUUUAAGAAUGGUGGGGGGAGAAAUAGAUCCAAAGUGUGUUGCGAAGUCACAGUCACACAGACGUGCUCUUUGCAGUUGAAAAUUCCCCUGUGGAUAUUAGGAAAAGGUUCUUCACCAGAGGGCGGUUGUGCACUGGAACAGGCUGCCCAGGUCAUGGCACCAAGCUGCAGGAGUUCAAGAAGUAUUUGGAAAAUGCUCUUAGACAUAAAGUUUAAAUAUUGAGUGCUCCUGUGUGGAGCCAGGAGUUGGACUCAGUCAUCCUUUUGUAGGUCUUUCCCAACCUUGGUGUUCUAUGAUUCCAUGACCUUCAUCAGUUUGUUCUAACUCAGAAUAUUCUAUGAUUCUGU